rnacentral:lncRNA from 1 species
CGGCCGCCGGCACCCGCCACACUUCCGGCCUUUGUGGGCCGCAGCGACGGCGGUCUGCGGCUGUCGGUUCUGUUUGUUGCUGUCACUGCUGUUUGUUCUUGCCAGCGGCUAGGUGUGUAGUUGCUUGGGGCUCCUAGCACGAGGCCUCUGUCCCCAGGCACGCAGCGCCAGUCUCCGGCUGUUGCGCCCUGGGCGCCGCCUCUCUCCGGCCCCCCUUUGUUUCCUGAGCCAGCUGGGAAGACUAAAAGGGGUCUGGCUGUUUUGCCCAGAAUGGAGUGCAGUGGCGUGAUGGUCUCGGCUGACAGCAGCCUCGACCUCCUGGGCUCAAGCCUUGGCCUCCCAAAGUGCUGGGAUUACAGGUAUGAGCCACCAUGCCCGGCCCUCCCUUUCUUUUGUGUCUUUGGAUUUGUCUUUGUGGAGAGGGUACCAGCCACCAUCCUGUGAGGAAGCCCAGAGCACAUGAAGAGACCACCUGCACAUGUUCAGAUCCACUGCCCCAGCUAAGAUCUCCGCUGACAGCCAGACCAAUCACCAAUCUUAGGAGCUGGCGAGCCUUCAGAUGGUCCAACCUUUGAGGCCCCCCAGAGGAGCCAGGUGGAGCAUAGAUGAGCCAUCCAUGUGGAUCCCUCCACCAAAUGGAAGAUUUAGGAGCAAAAUAAACAAUGUUGUCAUUGCUUUCACCCACGAAAUUGUUGAAUAAUUUGUUUUGCUGCUUAAGUAGCUGGAACACUGUGUUACCGAGGGAAGAGCAACAACCAACAGGAGAGAAUAGUCAGUUAAGUAAGAGAUUUUUGACCCUCUCCCUAUCCGUCCACUUUGCUCAACACAACAGAGAAGCCACAGCUUCCAAUAGGAAAAUAGAGAGGGAAGGUGUCUCCAACAGUCAGAUCACUCACUCCUGCCACCCCAGGGAGAGGGAAGGGGAGGAGGAAAAGCAUAGAUGAAAGUACCCUUCCCACAGCAGGUUCCCCAGCCACAGCCCUAGCCGACAGUAAAGAAAACUCAG